rnacentral:tRNA from 3 species
GGCGAGGUAGCUCAGGCGGUCAGAGCGUCGGAUUCAUAACCCGGAGGUCGGGAGUUCAAGUCUCCCCCUCGCUACUA